rnacentral:rRNA from 1 species
CCAAUAGCGUAUAUUAAAGUUGUUGCAGUUAAAAAGCUCGUAGUUGAAUUUCGGAAUCUGUCCAUCGGUCGAGCUUCACUGUUCGUACUGGUGUGGUGGGUUCUUACCUUCUGAAUAACCAGCAUGCCAUUCACUUGGUGCGUUGGGGAAGCAGGACUAUUACCUUGAAAAAAUUAGAGUGCUCAAAGCAGGUCAGCGCCUGAAUACAUUAGCAUGGAAUAAUAAAAUAGGACGGCUUGGUUCUAUUUUGUUGGUUUCUAGGAUCACCGUAAUGAUUAAUAGGGAUAGUUGGGGGCAUUAGUAUUCAAUUGUCAGAGGUGAAAUUCUUGGAUUUAUUGAAGACUAACUUCUGCGAAAGCAUUUGCCAAGGAUGUUUUCAUUAAUCAAGAACGAAAGUUAGGGGAUCGAAGACGAUCAGAUACCGUCGUAGUCUUAACCAUAAACUAUGCCGACUAGGGAUCGGACGAUGUUAAUUUUUUAAUGACUCGUUCGGCGCCUUACG